ACAGUCGUGGCCGAGUAGUUAAGGCGAUGGACUAGAAAUCCAUUG
rfam:Ixodes scapularis strain Wikel colony gcontig_1107729044022, whole genome shotgun sequence.